rnacentral:rRNA from 1 species
GUAGAGAUGUGGAGGAACACCAGUGGCGAAGGCGACUCUCUGGUCUGUAACUGACGCUGAGGAGCGAAAGCGUGGGGAGCGAACAGGAUUAGAUACCCUGGUAGUCCACGCCGUAAACGAUGAGUGCUAAGUGUUAGGGGGUUUCCGCCCCUUAGUGCUGCAGCUAACGCAUUAAGCACUCCGCCUGGGGAGUACGGUCGCAAGACUGAAACUCAAAGGAAUUGACGGGGGCCCGCACAAGCGGUGGAGCAUGUGGUUUAAUUCGAAGCAACGCGAAGAACCUUACCAGGUCUUGACAUCCUCUGACAAUCCUAGAGAUAGGACGUCCCCUUCGGGGGCAGAGUGACAGGUGGUGCAUGGUUGUCGUCAGCUCGUGUCGUGAGAUGUUGGGUUAAGUCCCGCAACGAGCGCAACCCUUGAUCUUAGUUGCCAGCAUUCAGUUGGGCACUCUAAGGUGACUGCCGGUGACAAACCGGAGGAAGGUGGGGAUGACGUCAAAUCAUCAUGCCCCUUAUGACCUGGGCUACACACGUGCUACAAUGGACAGAACAAAGGGCAGCGAAACCGCGAGGUUAAGCCAAUCCCACAAAUCUGUUCUCAGUUCGGAUCGCAGUCUGCAACUCGACUGCGUGAAGCUGGAAUCGCUAGUAAUC